UACGGUGAAAUCACGUUGAAACCGCACGUUCUCCUUCGAUCAUCGAAGUUAAGCAGCGUCGAGCCCGGUUAUUACGUAGAUGGGAGACUGCUUAGGAACACCUAGUACUGUAAG